AACAGCCCCAGCCUCAGGCCCCGCAGCUGGGACCGAGAGAAUCAGCCACCGUCUGGAUACUUCGGGCCGACGGGUCCAUACCAGGCCCCCACCAUACAGGCGGCCGCUGCAGAGACCCCUCUCCAAAGGCCGCUUCUACCCUUACCGGCUGCCGCUGCUCUGGAGGUGAAGCGGGACCCACACCCGGACUGAACUGGGCCUCCCAGGCCAGGCAGCUAUUUUCAGUAGACCCAGAACAUGGCAGUCAGCAAUUCCAGCCCUCACACUUGACCUCAGCCAUAGCGUGUAACACACAGCUGCCGCGUGUUCUUUAAGAAAGCAGGGGCCGGGCGCGGUGGCUCACGCCUGUAAUCCCAGCACUUUGGGAGGCCGAAGCAGGCGGAUCACCUGAGGUCGGGAGUUUGAGACCAGCCUGGCCAACAUGGCGAAACCUCGUCUCUACUGAAAAUACAAAAGUAGCCGGGCAUGGUGGUGCGUGCCAGUGAUCCCAGCUAUGUGGGAGGCUGAGGCAGGAGAAUCGCUUGAACCCGGGAGGCGGAGAUUUCAGUGAACCGAGAUGGUGCCACUGCACUCCAGCCUGGAGCCUGGGCGACAGAGCAAGACUCCAUCUCAAAAAAAAAAAAAAAAAAAAAAAGGCGGAAACCUUCCUGACUCCCGGUCCUGGCCCAGUUGGCCUAUUCAGAGCGGGGAUCUGGAUGCUUCACAGGGCCUGAAGAUCUGUGACCAUGGAUAGUAAAUUCUUGCAGUUGCCAUCCCAGGGCUCAGGGGUGCCACAGAACCCAUUGAGGCUGUCAGUGUGUGGACAGGUUCUCAGAACAUCCCCACUCCCUGCCCCAGCCUCUCAUUUUAUAACCACCAUUCCCCAAACACUGGCCUGAUCAUAAAAGUCUCGAGUACACAUCCAGAUUCUGGGGACCUCUCCCCAGGAGGGUUGCUGCCACUCCCCAAUCCCUGAGGGUGGUGCUGUAUCUGCUUUGUUUGCUCUUCCCUCAUCGUGGGCACAUAAUUUGUGUUCAAUAAAUACCUGGAUUAAUACAA